rnacentral:rRNA from 1 species
GAUGAACGCUGGCGGCGUGCCUAAUACAUGCAAGUCGAGCGAACGGACGAGAAGCUUGCUUCUCUGAUGUUAGCGGCGGACGGGUGAGUAACACGUGGAUAACCUACCUAUAAGACUGGGAUAACUUCGGGAAACCGGAGCUAAUACCGGAUAAUAUUUUGAACCGCAUGGUUCAAAAGUGAAAGACGGUCUUGCUGUCACUUAUAGAUGGAUCCGCGCUGCAUUAGCUAGUUGGUAAGGUAACGGCUUACCAAGGCAACGAUGCAUAGCCGACCUGAGAGGAUGGUCGGCCACACUGGAACUGAGACACGGUCCAGACUCCUACGGGAGGCAGCAGUAGGGAAUCUUCCGCAAUGGGCGAAAGCCUGACGGAGCAACGCCGCGUGAGUGAUGAAGGUCUUCGGAUCGUAAAACUCUGUUAUUAGGGAAGAACAUAUGUGUAAGUAACUGUGCACAUCUUGACGGUACCUAAUCAGAAAGCCACGGCUAACUACGUG